CACCUUGCGGUAUUCUUCUAGCUUAGCUAGGAUGAUACAUUUUACCUACCGUUUGACAAACUAUGACAUUUACAAGGUAAGUAGUAAUUAGGGAUGCUUAUCUGUGUGCCAAUUUGCAUCCUACAUGGUUAGCUCAUCGUGAUGUCACAGAAAACCUCCUUGCUAGCUGUACAGGCUUUGCUGCAAAAAAAGACAUUUUCAGUGAGCACCUUCCCUCGUUCUGCUCGAUGGUGGACUCUGUCCAGCAAACGCAUUUGCUGUGUGCCUGAAACCUGCUGCACAGAGGCAGAGGAGCUGUGGCAGUGCUGCAGGGAGCAUCAGGACGCCAGAGCUGCCCGAAGGGCCCAAACAUCCAAACCCUCUGCUUCCCUCGGGCUCUGCUGCACGACUAACAAAGCAGGUGGUGCGCAAGAUGCUCAGAAAGAAAAGUGUAGAAAGAUGAAAGGUAAAGAGGUAAAAUGAAUUCAGGGAGAAAUGCCACAUGAUGAAUCCUGGGAGAAAUGCCACAGGAAGUUUUGGAAAUUAUGCUUUUAGAAAUAAAAAGGUAACAGUUGGACUUGAUGAUCUUUUC
rnacentral:lncRNA from 1 species